rnacentral:tRNA from 1 species
GGGAACAUAGCUCAGUUGGUAGAGCAACGGAUUGAAGCUCCGUGUGUCGCAAGUUCGAUUCCUGCUGUUCCCG